rnacentral:rRNA from 1 species
GACGAGGGAUCCUAGCGUUGUUCGGAAUUACUGGGCGUAAAGCGAGUGUAGGCGGUGUGGUAAGUCGGAUGUGAAAGCCCCCGGGCUCAACCCGGGAAGUGCACUCGAUACUGCCACGCUAGAGUAUCGGAGAGGUUGGUGGAAUUCUCGGUGUAGAGGUGAAAUUCGUAGAUAUCGAGAGGAACACCGGUGGCGAAGGCGGCCAACUGGACGAAUACUGACGCUGAGACUCGAAAGCGUGGGGAGCAAACAGG